rnacentral:rRNA from 1 species
GACGAACGCUGGCGGCGUGCCUAAUACAUGCAAGUCGAACGCAUUUUCUUUCACCGUAGCUUGCUACACCGAAAGAAAAUGCGUGGCGAACGGGUGAGUAACACGUGGGUAACCUGCCCAUCAGCGGGGGAUAACACUUGGAAACAGGUGCUAAUACCGCAUAAUUCCAUUUACCGCAUGGUAAAUGGAUGAAAGGCGCUUUUGCGUCACUGAUGGAUGGACCCGCGGUGCAUUAGCUAGUUGGUGGGGUAACGGCCUACCAAGGCUGCGAUGCAUAGCCGACCUGAGAGGGUGAUCGGCCACACUGGGACUGAGACACGGCCCAGACUCCUACGGGAGGCAGCAGUAGGGAAUCUUCGGCAAUGGACGCAAGUCUGACCGAGCAACGCCGCGUGAGUGAAGAAGGUUUUCGGAUCGUAAAACUCUGUUGUUAGAGAAGAACAAGGAUGAGAGUGGAAAGUUCAUCCCUUGACGGUAUCUAACCAGAAAGCCACGGCUAACUACGU